GCCCCUGUGGUGGAAUUGGAAUACACGGCAGGUUGAGGGCCUGUGCUCGUGAGAGCGUGCUGGUUCGAGUCCAGUCAGGGGCACCA
rnacentral:tRNA from 1 species